rnacentral:rRNA from 1 species
AGCUCCAAUAGCGUAUAUUAAAGUUGUUGCAGGUAAAAAGCUCGUAGUUGGAUUUCUAGUGGGAGGGAUCGGUCCUGUAUUCUUUGUAUGAAAUUGUAUCCUCUCCGGCCAUCCUUGGGUGGAUCUUGUCUGGCAUUAAUUUUUCAGUCAGGGGAUGCCCAUCGUUUACUGCAAGAAAAUUAGAGUGUUCAAAGCAGGCUUAUGCCAUUGAAUAUAUUAGCAUGGAAUAAUAAGAUAGGGCCCUGGUACUAUUUUGUUGGUUUGCGUACCGAGGUAAUGAUUAAUAGGAACAGUUGGGGGUAUUUGUAUUCAGUAUUCAGUGGUGAAAUACUUAGACCUACGGAAGACAAACUACUGCAAAAGCAUUUACCAAGGAUGUUUUCA